AGAGUUUGAUCCUGGCUCAGGAUGAACGCUGGCGGCGUGCUUAACACAUGCAAGUCGAACGAUGAUGCCAGCUUGCUGGUGGAUUAGUGGCGAACGGGUGAGUAACACGUGAGUAACCUGCCCUUGACUCUGGGAUAAGCCUGGGAAACCGGGUCUAAUACUGGAUAUGACUGCCGGCCGCAUGGUCUGGUGGUGGAAAGCUUUAUUGCGGUUUUGGAUGGACUCGCGGCCUAUCAGCUUGUUGGCGGGGUAAUGGCCCACCAAGGCGACGACGGGUAGCCGGCCUGAGAGGGUGACCGGCCACACUGGGACUGAGACACGGCCCAGACUCCUACGGGAGGCAGCAGUGGGGAAUAUUGCACAAUGGGCGCAAGCCUGAUGCAGCGACGCCGCGUGAGGGAUGAAGGCCUUCGGGUUGUAAACCUCUUUCAGUAGGGAAGAAGCGAAAGUGACGGUACCUGCAGAAGAAGCGCCGGCUAACUACGUGCCAGCAGCCGCGGUAAUACGUAGGGCGCAAGCGUUAUCCGGAAUUAUUGGGCGUAAAGAGCUCGUAGGCGGUUUGUCGCGUCUGCCGUGAAAGUCCGGGGCUUAACUCCGGAUCUGCGGUGGGUACGGGCAGACUAGAGUGCAGUAGGGGAGACUGGAAUUCCUGGUGUAGCGGUGAAAUGCGCAGAUAUCAGGAGGAACACCGAUGGCGAAGGCAGGUCUCUGGGCUGUAACUGACGCUGAGGAGCGAAAGCAUGGGGAGCGAACAGGAUUAGAUACCCUAGUAGUCC
rnacentral:rRNA from 1 species